GUGUCAGCAGCCGCGGUAAUACGGAGGGUGCAAGCGUUGUCCGGAUUUAUUGGGUUUAAAGGGUGCGUAGGCGGCCCUGUAAGUCAGUGGUGAAAGCCUCCAGCUCAACUGGAGAACUGCCAUUGAUACUGCAGGGCUUGAGUACAGACGAGGUUGGCGGAAUUGAUAGUGUAGCGGUGAAAUGCAUAGAUACUAUCAAGAACUCCGAUUGCGUAGGCAGCUAACUAGGCUGUAACUGACGCUGAGGCACGAAAGCGUGGGGAGCGAACAGGAUUAGAUACCCUGGUAGUCCACGCCGUAAACGAUGAUUACUCGAUGUCGGCGAUAAACAGUCGGCGUCUUAGCGAAAGCGUUAAGUAAUCCACCUGGGGAGUACGCCCGCAAGGGUGAA
rnacentral:rRNA from 1 species